rnacentral:lncRNA from 1 species
UGUUUUUAGGCUUUUUGCAGUUUGGCAUGACAUGACUCGUUUAGGUUUCAAUGCUUAAGUAACAUGCAUACAACGUUAGGAGAGGGCGCUAUUCUAUCUUGGGGCUCGAUUACUCCCAACUACUUUCUUGUACUACUGGCGAGUCAAUUAAGUUCCUUGAUGGUGAUAUCUGAAUAUAUGUAACCAGAUCGAGAAGAAGAGACAACUUGGAAUCUAAAUCAGCAAACCAUAUGGCAUAUGCCAUCAUCGUCUCGUACAUCCAUCACUCGAGUCGAGAGUUACAAGCCACGACUAUAUACAUGUGGAGCACACUAGCUACUACGUGCAAGGAUCUUUUGUCUUAUCACACAUGAAUGUCUAGCUCAUUAGCAUAUAUGUUUAGCGUAUAUCAUCUCCUCGCAUGUUCACGGUUCGGCUUGGGAGGCAGCAGGAAUUCAGGUUCUGCAUCCCUACAUGAUCCUGCCCGUGAAGAAAAACACCAGCGCGUUCUUGUUGACGCUCUGCUUCGUGCGCAAGGAAGCUCAAGUAUGCUCAAUGUUUGUUCAUGUUCCACAUCUACAGCAGGAUGUCGAGUUUUCCUCAUGGAACAUGUUUUUCAACACAAAGAAGCAGCGACAGUGGGUAUUCCAGGACGCGAGCACUGAGCUCACAACACAAGCCAUCAACUGUAGGUGUAGGUUUAACUGAACGCUGAACUCAAAAGCCCCAAACACAUUUACUCGCUUAAUUCAUUCGGCCGAAUUGGAAGAUUCAGCAGUAUCAAAACUUGAACUUGUUUGACUGGGCAAGUAAUCCACACGGUCAGGCACAUCAUGUAAUAUGUAAAUUUAGACAUUGCUUUGUUGUCAUCAAUCCUUGCAUCAGGUCCUUGGUACUUUGAGGAGUAAAAGGUGCUGGCGGUCUGAGAACUUGUGUUGCGGAUGCAGUUAAGUCCCACUACUUGCC